rnacentral:rRNA from 1 species
CGGACGGUUGAGUAAUACUUGGGAAUCUGCCUGAGGGCGGGGGACAACCACUGGAAACGGUGGCUAAUACCGCAUAAUGUCUACGGACCAAAGUGUGGGACCUACGGGCCACACGCCUUCAGAUGAGCCCAAGCGAGAUUAGGUAGUUGGUGGGGUAAAGGCCUACCAAGCCGACGAUCUCUAGCUGGUUUGAGAGGAUGAUCAGCCACACUGGGACUGAGACACGGCCCAGACUCCUACGGGAGGCAGCAGUGGGGAAUAUUGGACAAUGGGGGCAACCCUGAUCCAGCCAUGCCGCGUGUGUGAAGAAGGCCUUCGGGUUGUAAAGCACUUUCAGUGGUGAGGAAGGCGUUGUCGUUAAUAGCGGCGACGAUUGACGUUAGCCACAGAAGAAGCACCGGCUAACUCCGUGCCAGCAGCCGCGGUAAUACGGAGGGUGCGAGCGUUAAUCGGAAUUACUGGGCGUAAAGCGCACGUAGGCGGUUUGCUAAGCAAGAUGUGAAAGCCCAGAGCUCAACUCUGGAAUAGCAUUUUGAACUGGCAGGCUAGAGUUUUGGAGAGGGUGGUAGAAUUUCCAGUGUAGCGGUGAAAUGCGUAGAUAUUGGAAGGAAUACCAGUGGCGAAGGCGGCCUUCUGGACUGACACUGACACUGAGGUGCGAAAGCGUGGGUAGCAAACAGGAUUAGAUACCCUGGUAGUCCACGCCGUAAACGAUGUCGACCAGCCGUUGGGUGCCUCGCGCACUUAGUGGCGAAGUUAACGCGAUAAGUCGACCGCCUGGGGAGUACGGCCGCAAGGUUAAAACUCAAAUGAAUUGACGGGGGCCCGCACAAGCGGUGGAGCAUGUGGUUUAAUUCGAUGCAACGCGAAGGACCUUACC